GCGCGGGUGGCGGAAUGGUAGACGCGCUGCGUUGAGGUCGCAGUGCCCGCAAGGGCGUGGGGGUUCAAGUCCCCCUCCGCGCA
rnacentral:tRNA from 4 species